CCUACGGGAGGCAGCAGUGGGGAAUUUUGGACAAUGGGCGAAAGCCUGAUCCAGCCAUUCCGCGUGAGUGAAGAAGGCCUUCGGGUUGUAAAGCUCUUUCGCAAGGGAAGAAAACUUAGAUACUAAUAUUAUCUGAGGUUGACGGUACCUUGAUAAGAAGCACCGGCUAACUACGUGCCAGCAGCCGCGGUAAUACGUAGGGUGCGAGCGUUAAUCGGAAUUACUGGGCGUAAAGCGUGCGCAGGCGGUUUUGUAAGUCAGAUGUGAAAUCCCCGAGCUCAACUUGGGAACUGCGUUUGAAACUACAAGACUAGAAUAUGUCAGAGGGGGGUAGAAUUCCACGUGUAGCAGUGAAAUGCGUAGAGAUGUGGAGGAAUACCAAUGGCGAAGGCAGCCCCCUGGGAUAAUAUUGACGCUCAUGCACGAAAGCGUGGGGAGCAAACAGGAUUAGAUACCCUGGUAGUCCACGCCCUAAACGAUGUCUACUAGUUGUUGGUGGAGUAAAAUCCAUGAGUAACGCAGCUAACGCGUGAAGUAGACCGCCUGGGGAGUACGGUCGCAAGNUUAAAACUUAAAGGAAUUGACCGGNNGAGAGNGCGAGACGACGACGAGGGAGGAGG
rnacentral:rRNA from 1 species